CUUGAUGGCGCGUCUAAUACAUGCAAGUCGAGCGGACAGAAGGGAGCUUGCUCCCGGAUGUUAGCGGCGGACGGGUGAGUAACACGUGGGUAACCUGCCUGUAAGACUGGGAUAACUCCGGGAAACCGGAGCUAAUACCGGAUAGUUCCUUGAACCGCAUGGUUCAAGGAUGAAAGACGGUUUCGGCUGUCACUUACAGAUGGACCCGCGGCGCAUUAGCUAGUUGGUGAGGUAACGGCUCACCAAGGCGACGAUGCGUAGCCGACCUGAGAGGGUGAUCGGCCACACUGGGACUGAGACACGGCCCAGACUCCUACGGGAGGCAGCAGUAGGGAAUCUUCCGCAAUGGACGAAAGUCUGACGGAGCAACGCCGCGUGAGUGAUGAAGGUUUUCGGAUCGUAAAGCUCUGUUGUUAGGGAAGAACAAGUGCAAGAGUAACUGCUUGCACCUUGACGGUACCUAACCAGAAAGCCACGGCUAACUACGUGCCAGCAGCCGCGGUAAUACGUAGGUGGCAAGCGUUGUCCGGAAUUAUUGGGCGUAAAGGGCUCGCAGGCGGUUUCUUAAGUCUGAUGUGAAAGCCCCCGGCUCAACCGGGGAGGGUCAUUGGAAACUGGGAAACUUGAGUGCAGAAGAGGAGAGUGGAAUUCCACGUGUAGCGGUGAAAUGCGUAGAGAUGUGGAGGAACACCAGUGGCGAAGGCGACUCUCUGGUCUGUAACUGACGCUGAGGAGCGAAAGCGUGGGGAGCGAACAGGAUUAGAUACCCUGGUAGUCCACGCCGUAAACGAUGAGUGCUAAGUGUUAGGGGGUUUCCGCCCCUUAGUGCUGCAGCUAACGCAUUAAGCACUCCGCCUGGGGAGUACGGUCGCAAGACUGAAACUCAAAGGAAUUGACGGGGGCCCGCACAAGCGGUGGAGC
rnacentral:rRNA from 1 species